UACGUAGGGUGCAAGCGUUAAUCGGAAUUACUGGGCGUAAAGCGUGCGCAGGCGGUCUUGCAAGACAGAUGUGAAAUCCCCGGGCUUAACCUGGGAACUGCAUUUGUGACUGCAAGGCUGGAGUGCGGCAGAGGGGGAUGGGAAUUCCGCGUGUAGCAGUGAAAUGACGUAGAUAUGCGGAGGAACACCGAUGGCGAAGGCAAUCCCCUGGGCCUGCACUGACGCUCAUGCACGAAAGCGUGGGGAGCAAACAGG
rnacentral:rRNA from 1 species